UAGGGAAUCUUCGGCAAUGGGCGAAAGCCUGACCGAGCAACGCCGCGUGAAUGAUGAAGGCCUUCGGGUUGUAAAAUUCUGUUAUAAGGGAAGAAUGGCUCUAGUAGGAAAUGGCUAGAGUGUGACGGUACCUUAUGAGAAAGCCACGGCUAACUACGUGCCAGCAGCCGCGGUAAUACGUAGGUGGCGAGCGUUAUCCGGAAUUAUUGGGCGUAAAGAGCGCGCAGGUGGUUGAUUAAGUCUGAUGUGAAAGCCCACGGCUUAACCGUGGAGGGUCAUUGGAAACUGGUCAACUUGAGUGCAGAAGAGGGAAGUGGAAUUCCAUGUGUAGCGGUGAAAUGCGUAGAGAUCGGGAGGAACACCAGUGGCGAAGGCGACUUACUGGACUGUAACUGACGCUGAGGCGCGAAAGCGUGGGGAGCAAACA
rnacentral:rRNA from 1 species